rnacentral:rRNA from 1 species
GAUGAACGCUGGCGGCGUGCUUAACACAUGCAAGUCGAGCGAGAAGUUUUGAAAAGAUUCUUCGGAUGAAAUUUAAAAUGGAAAGCGGCGGACGGGUGGGUAACGCGUAGGCAACCUGCCCCAUACAAAGGGAUAGCAUUUGGAAACGAAUAUUAAUACCUUAUGAAACUUACCUAGUGCAUGCUAGGUAGGUCAAAGAUUUAUCGGUAUGGGAUGGGCCUGCGUCUGAUUAGCUAGUUGGUGAGGUAACGGCUCACCAAGGCGACGAUCAGUAGCCGACCUGAGAGGGUGAACGGCCACAUUGGAACUGAGACACGGUCCAAACUCCUACGGGAGGCAGCAGUGGGGAAUAUUGCACAAUGGGGGAAACCCUGAUGCAGCAACGCCGCGUGAACGAUGAAGGCCUUUGGGUCGUAAAGUUCUGUUCUAGGUGAUGAAAACUGACAGUAACCUAGGAGAAAGCCCCGGCUAACUCCGUG